rnacentral:lncRNA from 1 species
GAGAGAGAGCGAUGGAGAGACGAUCGUGAGCGAUUGGGUUUCUGAGAGAGAGCGAUGAGGAAGGAUUCGUAGCAUUAUGGAGAGACGAUCGUGAGCGAUUGGGUUUCUGAGAGAGAGCGAUGAGGAAGGAUUCGUAGCAUGAGGGAGAUGAGGGAGUGUUACUGUUGAUUCAUUUUCUUUCUUUUAUUUUAUUUCAUUUUUUUUGAAAAAAGAAAUAACGUUUAAACUUCUUAGAUCUUCAUUUAAUAGUAUUUUCAUUUACUAGGGUAUUAAUAUAGCAUUUUAGUAUUCCCAAUCAAUCAGCAUCUAAAACCCAACAGCCAUGCGGCUGGGUUUAACUACCAGUAGACCAAUAGUUUUCUUUUUUAUUUUAGUUUUUAUUUUAAUCUUUUUUUAAUUUACCUUAAUUUAUAUAUUUAAGUUUAGUGUUAAGAUAACAGUUAGUUGGUGAGUAGCCUAGUGGAGAGAGGGUAGUGCCAUAGUCUCAAGAGGAGUGGGUUCGAUACUCGUGGAUAGUAUUUUUAGUAUUUCUUUUUUAGUAUUUCUUUUUAGCAUUUCAUUUUUUAUUUUAGUAUUUUAUUAUCUUUUAGCAUUUUGUUUCUUUUAAUAGUUUUUAUGUCCGUGUUUUUUUUAUUAAAUCCAUCAUGCAUGCAAAACCAUUUUAAAAAAAUCAUACUUUUCUCGAUUUAAUAUCGAGCCCCUUUUUCACACCCUUGUAAGUC